UACGUAGGGUGCGAGCGUUGUCCGGAAUUACUGGGCGUAAAGAGCUCGUAGGUGGUUUGUCGCGUUGUUCGUGAAAACCUGAGGCUUAACCUUGGGCGUGCGGGCGAUACGGGCAGACUGGAGUACUGCAGGGGAGACUGGAAUUCCUGGUGUAGCGGUGGAAUGCGCAGAUAUCAGGAGGAACACCGGUGGCGAAGGCGGGUCUCUGGGCCGUAACCGACGCUGAGGAGCGAAAGCAUGGGGAGCGAACAGG
rnacentral:rRNA from 1 species